rnacentral:rRNA from 1 species
AGCGAACGCUGGCGGCGUGCCUAACACAUGCAAGUCGAACGUGAAAAGGGAAACCUGAGUAAAGUGGCGUACGGGUGAGUAACGCGUAGGUAAUCUACCCCAGAAUCUGGAAUAACCUGCCGAAAGGCGGGCUAAUACUGGAUAGAGCGAGGGAACUCGUAAGAGAGUUUUUCGGGAAAGGGAGCCCGCAAGGGCCUUCGUUCUGGGAUGAGCCUGCGUCUCAUUAGCUAGUUGGUAAGGUAACGGCUUACCAAGGCGAUGAUGAGUAGCUGGUCUGAGAGGAUGAUCAGCCACACUGGAACUGAAACACGGUCCAGACUCCUACGGGAGGCAGCAGUGGGGAACCUUGCGCAAUGGACGAAAGUCUGACGCAGCCACGCCGCGUGAGUGAAGAAGGCCUUCGGGUUGUAAAGCUCUGUCGGAUGGGACGAACAUCUUCAUAGUGAAUAGCUAUGAGGACUGACGGUACCAUCAAAGGAAGCACCGGCUAACUCCGUG